GACAUAGGUCGCAAACGUUAUCCGGAAUUAUUGGGCGUAAAGGAUGCGUAGAUGGUUCAGUAAGUUACUGGUGGGAAACCGAGGCCUAACCUCGGGUCUGCAGUCGAUACGAGCAAACUAGAGUGUUGCAGGGGAGACUGGAAUUCCUGGUGUAGCGGUGAAAUGCGCAGAUAUCAGGAGGAACACCGGUGGCGAAGGCGGGUCUCUGGGCAACAACUGACGCUGAGGAGCGAAAGCGUGGGGAGCGAACAGG
rnacentral:rRNA from 1 species